rnacentral:rRNA from 1 species
CCUACGGGGGGCAGCAGUGGGGGAUAUUGCACAAUGGGGGAAACCCUGAUGCAGCGACGCCGCGUGGGUGAAGAAGCGCCUCGGCGCGUAAAGCCCUGUCAGCAGGGAAGAAAAUGACGGUACCUGAAGAAGAAGCCCCGGCUAACUACGUGCAAGCAGCCUCGGUAAUACGUAGGGGGCAAGCGUGAUCCGGAUUUCCUGGGUGUAAAGGGGGCGCAGACGGCGAUGCAAGCCAGGAGUGAAAGCCCGGGGCCCAACCCCGGGACUGCGCUUGGAACUGCGUGGCUAGAGUGCAGGAGGGGCAGGCGGAAUUCCUGGUGUAGCGGUGAAAUGCGUAGAUAUCAGGAGGAACACCGGUGGCGAAGGCGGCCUGCUGGACUGCAACUGACGUUGAGGCCCGAAAGCGUGGGGAGCAAACAGGAUUAGAUACCCGAGUAGUC